CGUAGGUGACCUGCGGAGGAUCAUUACCGAAUUGUCAAACGGGUUGUUGCUGGUCUUCAAACGGGGACAUGCUGCACGCAUCUGUUUACACAUCCACUCACACCUGUUGCACCCUCCGUAGUUCUAUGGUCUGGGGGACCCUGUCUUCCUGCCGUGGUUCUACGUCUUUACACACACUCUGUAAUAAAGUCUUAUGGAAUGUAUGCCGCGUCUAACGCAAUACAAUACAACUUUCAGCAACGGAUCUCUUGGCUCUCGCAUCGAUGAAGAACGCAGCGAAAUGCGAUAAGUAAUGUGAAUUGCAGAAUUCAGUGAAUCAUCGAAUCUUUGAACGCACCUUGCGCCCCUUGGCUAUUCCGAGGGGCAUGCCUGUUUGAGUAUCAUGAACACCUCAACUCUCAUGGUUCGCCAUGAUGAGCUUGGACUCUGGGGGUUUUGCUGGCCUGCGGUCGGCUCCCCUCAAAUGAAUCAGCCUCCCAGUGUUUGGUGGCAUCACGGGUGUGAUAAAUAUCUACGCUCGCGGUUGUCUGCCAGGUAACCUUUGGUGACAAAGGUUUGCUGGAGCUCACAGAUGUCUCUCCUCGGCGAGGACAGCUUUUUUGAACGUUCGAUCUCAAAUCAGGUAGGACUACCCGCUGAACUUAAGCAUAUCAAUAAGCGGAGGAAAAGAAACUAACAAGGAUUCCCCUAGUAACUGCGAGUGAAGCGGGAAGAGCUCAAAUUUAAAAUCUGGCGUGCCUCUGGUCGUCCGAGUGUGUCWGANAG
rnacentral:rRNA from 1 species